rnacentral:rRNA from 1 species
UACGUAGGUGGCGAGCGUUGUCCGGAUUUACUGGGCGUAAAGAGCGCGCAGGCGGUCGUACAAGUCGCGUGUGAAAGCCCCCGGCUCAACUGGGGAGGGUCACGCGAUACUGUUCGACUCGAAGGCAGGAGAGGGUAGUGGAAUUCCCGGUGUAGUGGUGAAAUGCGUAGAUAUCGGGAGGAACACCAGUGGCGAAGGCGACUACCUGGCCUGUUCUUGACGCUGAGGCGCGAAAGCCAGGGGAGCAAACGGG